rfam:Mus musculus chromosome 3, GRC primary reference assembly.
AUGUGAGAGUGAUCUGACUUGACAUCGUCCACCCCAUUGAUUGCCAGGGUUGAUUUGUCUGAUCUGGUUGGCUGGGAGGGGUGUGUGUCCCCUCCUUCCUCAUCUCUUCACAUGUGUCCCUCGCAAAGCUUUGAGCUAGUCCAAAGAGGAGGACCUUUCCUGAAUAGAGGAGGACCAGCCUUCGUCAAUGGUACAGGAGUAGCUGUGCUCCCCUGCUAGAACCUCUAAAUAAGAUUAUUUUUAGAAGCUGCAUGUUAUGCUAAACUAUAGAUCAACCAAUACUGUUGAAUAUUUCAUAAGGCUAGGGACUUUUUU